AGACCCCACCCACUGCGGCGCUCAGCGGUCUACCUCUGCUCAUCUUCCCAUUGUGGGGCCGCCCAGGAUUCCCCUGGAGGACUUUGCCUCUGUUGGCGAAGAGAGAGGCCACCAUCCCACACACUGAAGGACAUUGAAGCUCGAUAAGCCAGAAGGAUAAGGCAGACCUCGCAGUGGGGGAGAAACCCCAGGGAUACCCACCCCCAGACUCAAGAGACAACCCCCAAAACUGAGAGGUGCAGAGCCCAACUUUUCCCCUGGAGAAUAAUGGACAGAGACUCCGUUUGGAUAUUGAAAUGUUUUUGUGUAUUAAUGUUGUGAUUUUUCAGACCUUUUAGCCAGGUCCUGUUUGUUCUUACUUUUCGUUACACUUUUGCUGUUGUUCCUCGCAUAAAACUUUGAUUUGAACCAAAAUGGUGAAGGUGCUGACGCACAAAGAUCUGAUGAUCAUGGGGGCGGAGCGGGGGAGAGGCGGAGCAUCUGCCCAUCACCCCGAGCUGUCUCAGAGGGGGGGGCUUGUGCAUAGAGUGUAAAAAGAGAUUGCUUCAUGAGUGGAUGGUUCAAAUAUGCAAAGGAUAAAGGCAAAAGCUUUCCUUGUACAGAUGUAAACAGGUAAAGCUUAAGUAACAUGAUACAUUGAUACUUCUUCAAAUGUGCUAUUCACAAGUCUAAAUAGUGUAAUGUAAAUGUGCCGUGUUAUUAA
rnacentral:lncRNA from 1 species